rnacentral:rRNA from 1 species
GGGGUGACCGCGUGCUUUUUGCAUAAUGAGCUCGGGAGUUAGCCUCUGUGGCGAGCCUAAGGCCUAACGGGCCGGAGGCGGAGCGAAAGCGAGUCUGAAUAGGGCGCUUUAGUCACGGGCGGCAGACGCGAAACUUGGUGAGCUACCCAUGGUCAGGUUGAAGAUCCGGUAACACGGAUUGGAGGACCGAACCGGUAAACGUUGAAAAGUUUUCGGAUGAACUGUGGGUAGGGGUGAAAGGCCUAUCAAACUGAGAGAUAGCUCGUACUCUCCGAAAUGCUUUUAGGAGCAGCCUCGGACCACUCUGUACAGGAGGUAGAGCUACCGAUAGGGCUAGGGCGGGACCCCUCGUGCCGAACCCUGACGAACUCCGAAUGCCUGUAUAUGAUAUUCCGGGAGUGAGGCUUUGGGUGCUAAGGUCCAAAGCCGAGAGGGGAACAACCCAGACCACCAACUAAGGCCCCGAAGUGUGGGUUCAGUUAGAAUAACGAGGUUUGGGCGCGAAGACAGCCAGGAUGUUAGCUUGGAAGCAGCUAUUCAUCUAAGGAGUGCGUAACAGCUCACUGGUCGAGUGCCCAAGCGCGGAUAAUAAACGGGUAUAAACCCACCGCCGAAGUUGUGGAUCGUAAGAUGGUAGGAGAGCAUUCCCUGGGCUGGGAAGGUAGGCUGUGAGGCUUGCUGGAGCGCAGGGAAGAGAAAAUGUAGGCAUAAGUAACGAUAAAACAGGUGAGAAACCUGUUCGCCGAAAGACGAAGGAUUCCUAAUCAACGCUAAUCGGAUUGGGGUUAGUCGGGACCUAAGCGUAAGCGAUGGAAAAACGGUUAAUAUUCCGUUACCACCGUGUAGAGCGACGGAGUGACGCAGAAGUGAAGCUGCUGCGUGCGGACGGAAGUGCACGUUGAAGCCGGGAAGUAUUGGCCCUGUAGUUAAAUGCGCAGGGCUAGCUGAAAGGCGAUAGUACUCGGAAACUUCGGUGGAAGAGAUAAUGCAGUGGAACAGGCUGCCAAGAAAAGCUUCUAAGCUUAUCUACAUGGUGCCCGUACUGGAAACCGACACAGGUCGUCGGGAUGAGUAUUCUCAGGCGCUCGAGUGAGGCAUGGCUAAGGAACUCGGCAAAAUUGCUCUGUAACUUCGGGAGAAGGAGCGCCCCUUAACGGGGGCCGCAGUGAAAAGGCCCAAACGACUGUUUACCAAAAACACAGGACUCUGCCAAAUCUUCGGAUGAUGUAUAGGGUCUGACACCUGCCCGGUGCCGGAAGGUUAAGGGG